AUUUUAUCUCAACUAAUAUACUUCCUCUUUUUUACGGUAAAUGAUUAUUUGGACGAAGGCGACGCAAAAAUGACGAAUCAAGGAACCUGGAUACAGUUAGACAGUUUCACAUGCCCAGCAGCUGGUUGUAGCGCAAGAACAAAAGGGAAAUGGGUCUGUGCUACAGAUAAUUCGGAUAUGUACAUCAAUGAACUGGGUAAAAUGAAGUGUUACAAUGGUACACACAUUGCUGAUCUCUGCAAGUGGGGAUGGAACUGUGGUAGCAGCUCCCACAAUGGCAAGUUUGUGACUGCGGACUUCGAGGGAUUCUCAUUCGCACUUUCACAGGCGGUACAACUGAUGACGAAAGGCGGUUCUGAAUGGGUUUCAAAAUUGGUUAUCGAAAUUGGAAAACAAUACGGCAAUAAGUGAAGCACUUUUUCUUCUGUUUGCCAGGAAAGUAGGCUUUGACCACAUGUGAAAUUUAAAUUGCUUUUACAAACGUCAUUUCUUGAUUGAAGAAGGACAUUCGUUGACUUUUUUUCGAAAUGAAACAAAACAUAUAUAUUAUAAUGCAUGACGACAAAUACAAAUAUACGAAUAUAUGUCAUUUUUGAAGCAUCUUUAAUAGUUCUUUAAUAUAUUAUUCACCCAUUUGUUACGCGAAAACAAACCAUUCAUACACACCGAUACUAGAGACAUGAUUUUUAUAUCCAUUUGUCUCAAUACGACUUUUUUUUCUAAUUAACAUGCUUUUUUUUAAAUAAUAAACUUUUAAAAUAUGAAGACAUACAAAAGAGGCAACGGUUGAUGUACAACUAUUUUGUGUUUGUGUAUGUAUGUGUUAUCUGUUUAGCCUGUUUGUAUGAAACUCUCAAAACAUCUAUUGUCAUUAUUGAAACAUAGCGUUAGUUAGCCGAAGUUGUGUGAUAUUCCCUGUGAAUUUUAAUAUAUUAAUAAAUUGAACAAAGUAAUAUAAAAAAAAAUCAAAUAAUAUUUAAAAAGCGAAAAGAUGUAUUUUCGAUAACAUUACAAAUUACCUGUUAUCAGGCGUUGUAAUCUGGAUUUUUGUAUCGACAGCUUUUUUUAAAGCUCUUUUCAGCUUAAAUGUUCGACAGCUAUUUUUAAAUCUCUUUUCAGCUUAAAUGUUAAACUGACACGGGCCGCAACAAAUGCAAAACGAUGUUUAAAAAAAAGCUUUGUGGUUUAAUGAGACAUGCACGCAUAACAAAAGAGAGUUUUAUGGAUUUAAGAUAAUCUCUAAAUGUUAGCUCUGUAAUGUAAAAAAUACUGGGUUUUUAACAUGCAAGAAAUAAAAAUGUCUGCCUUAAAAGGAAUUUCAAACGUGAUUAUUACAAUUAAGAAAAACAUACAUAAGAGAAAAUAAGAAAAUACCAUUCGAAACAUUGUUGGUGACACAUACACAGAUAUCAAAACAAACAUGGUUCAAAUAGUUAUGAUAUCAACAUGGGAUUUUUUUCUACCAUUAUAGACAAUAAUCGAAUUAUGUGUAUAACAUGCAAUUCAUGCGUAUUACACUAUUUUACAAGCAUGUUUGUGCUUUUACUGUAGACGAAGUCAGAAACACGAUAUCUAACAUGUAACAUUAUAAAAGCCGUGAAUUGUUCAAUAAUGAAACUGAUUUUUUUAUUGAUUUGCAAGAAUUUUAUCUCCCUAUAAUUGAUGUCAUUUCAAAACAUAUUUUCUUCAUAUUAACGAUACUGAAUGAACAGUUAAGGUGAAUCUGUAUUUAAUCCUCUUAAAUUCGAUUUCAAAGACAAGCGAUGUACGUCCGAUUGUAUUUGUAUCUUACAAACCAUUAUCAAAAUAAACUGUUGCAUAAACAUAA